UAUAUUUGCGGCCUGUAACAGAAGGUCUGUUAUGGGGUACAUAAAAAUCAUUUAAAUAAUAUUGGAAUG
rfam:Zhouia amylolytica AD3 51.P278.1_22, whole genome shotgun sequence.